GCAGCGCUCUUUGAUGACUACACUUAUUUGAACGGAUUUUCAUCCAUAAUGAAGUUAAUCUUUUUCUUAAUCUAUGCACCUUUUGUUUACUCAGCUCCUGAAGUGUCUCUGUUACAGAAGGAUUUCUCGUCUCCAGUGGUGUGUCAUGCCACAGGUUUUGACCCAGCAGGAGUAACUAUUACCUGGUUAAGAAAUGGACAGGAUCACGAUGAGGAUGUGGAUUUUGGAGAGACACUACCAAAUAUGGAUGGGACCUUCCAGAGGACAUCUACCCUCACUGUUUUUCCAGAUGACUGGAAGAGCAACCAGUAUGUUUGUGUGGUGGAGCACAUGACGGGGACCAUCCGGAAGAUUCUGAGAGAGGACGAGAUCAAGAACAAUUGGAAGAUGAACCAGUAUUUUUGUGUGGCGGAGCACAAGGGAAAGACCCUCCAGAAGAUUUGCGAUGAAGAGUAA